GAUGAACGCUGGCGGCGUGCUUAACACAUGCAAGUCGAACGGGAAACAUUUUAUUGAAGCUUCGGCAGAUUUAGCUUGUUUCUAGUGGCGGACGGGUGAGUAACGCGUGGGUAACCUGCCUCACACUGGGGGAUAACAGUCAGAAAUGACUGCUAAUACCGCAUAAGCGCACGGGACCGCAUGGUUUAGUGUGAAAAACUCCGGUGGUGUGAGAUGGACCCGCGUUGGAUUAGCUAGUUGGCAGGGCAGCGGCCUACCAAGGCGACGAUCCAUAGCCGGCCUGAGAGGGUGAACGGCCACAUUGGGACUGAGACACGGCCCAG
rnacentral:rRNA from 1 species